GGAUCGAUGGUGUAGUUGGUUAUCACAUUCGUCUCACAUGGGUCGUAAUGCCAAGUCAGAGUUGUGCACGAGAGGUCUCCAGUUCGAACCUGGAUCGAUCCA